rnacentral:rRNA from 1 species
GAGCAUCCUGGCGGCGAGUGGCGAACGGGUGAGUAAUACAUCGGAACAUGUCCAGUAGUGGGGGAUAGCCCGGCGAAAGCCGGAUUAAUACCGCAUACGAUCUACGGAUGAAAGCGGGGGAUCGCAAGACCUCGCGCUAUUGGGGUGGCCGAUGGCGGAUUAGCUAGUUGGUGGGGUAAAGGCCUACCAAGGCGACGAUCCGUAGCUGGUCUGAGAGGACGACCAGCCACACUGGGACUGAGACACGGCCCAGACUCCUACGGGAGGCAGCAGUGGGGAAUUUUGGACAAUGGGCGCAAGCCUGAUCCAGCAAUGCCGCGUGUGUGAAGAAGGCCUUCGGGUUGUAAAGCACUUUUGUCCGGAAAGAAAUCCUCUGGGUUAAUACCCCGGGGGGAUGACGGUACCGGAAGAAUAAGCACCGGCUAACUACGUGCCAGCAGCCGCGGUAAUACGUAGGGUGCGAGCGUUAAUCGGAAUUACUGGGCGUAAAGCGUGCGCAGGCGGUGAUGUAAGACCGAUGUGAAAUCCCCGGGCUUAACCUGGGAACUGCAUUGGUGACUGCAUCGCUGGAGUAUGGCAGAGGGGGGUAGAAUCCACGUGUAGCAGUGAAAUGCGUAGAGAUGUGGAGGAAUACCGAUGGCGAAGGC